rnacentral:lncRNA from 1 species
AGGGGUGGCAAAAUAUGACCCGACCUGCCAACCCGACCCACGUUCGACCCGCCAUAAACAGGUUCGGGUUUGGCCUAAACAGGUUCGGGUCGUAAACAGGUUGACCCGUUUAACCUGUUUAUUAAUUGGGUCGGAUACGGAUUUUAAAUAUCUUGACCCGUUUAACCCGUUUAGAUUGUAAUUAAGCUGCUGCCGUUCAUCUAAGAUCAGGUGGUUUAUAAUCACUAGGAGUUCUCCAAACCCUAGGCCCCUAACCCUUUUCUAUUCCCCGUGCGCUGUGCA